rnacentral:sRNA from 1 species
AUCUGCUGGAAAGGGAAAUUGGACCCUGGAACAAUGCUGUGAGGUUUUCGAGUUCCCUUUUCUGUCCAAUGCUGAUGCAUUCUUCCUCUUGCCAGAUUCUUUCCGCGAUGCAACACCUGCUACUCUUCGGUGAACGUUUGGAGUGGCUCAAGCAGGCCCCACGAGCCGCAAGAACGGUUGUGGGGAAAUCAGGGUGGAGGGAUUCCCAGUCUCCGCAACGCCGAUGCUAUUUAUCGGAUCUUCGGGAUGAUGAACAGACACGGCCAAGGUCUUCACCGUUGUCACCGCUGGAUAGAACGGCCAUAAUUCGUGGAACUUGGAGCUAUGUCCAAGAGUCAGUCAGCCCUACGCCA